ACAUGUACACACACACACACACACACAUAUACUGUACACACACACAUGUACACACACACACUUACGUACACCAUUGCUACAUUCUAACAGAUACCUUAGCUUUGUAAAUUCUUAUGAUAUAUAAGUUCCCUUUCUUUUAAUUUUUAUGAAAAUUGGCUAAAUGUAUGAUUUUAAUGUAGUCAUUUAUAUAUUUUCAGGCUGCAAUGUUUCAUAAGUCCAUAAUUAAGAAGACAUUCCCUCUGAUUGGCCAGUGGUAGCCAUGAAGGCUUCUUAAUAGCAAAGAUAAGGAAACCAUGUGAUUAACAGAAAAAAUGGAAGCUAGUGGCAUAUACAUAAUUGCAUAAUGUUACUGUAUCAUUAUGUGGAUAUAAAGAAGGGUUGUGUGGUGAUCCUCUUUAAUACAGAGUUUAAAGACCUAGAUGAUGUCAACACUGGAUAGGUGUUUAUGCAGAAUUUUUGCACAAUUCUUCUGGAAGAAGUUAGCAAGGACCAGAACUUGUGGGUGGUUACUGAGACUCUGGAUACCAUCGUUGAUCAUCUGUACCUGUGGUCAUGGAUAUCAGGAUUCAUCAACAGAAAAGCAGCCUGGGAGCCCACCUUUCUAUCAUCAUGACAGCAAGGACAAAUCUGGUUCAGUUCAUCAAAUACAAGUAUUGACUAGUAUCUAGGCAUGAUCUAGGAGGAGCGACCUAUCUCCGAGGGAAUUCUCACUAAAUUUGAGUUCAGAUCAAGAUGCUUAGAUUUCUGGCACACCUACUGAACUUUACGUCAAUCGAAAUCAAGUGAAGUUCAAUGCGUUUAAUUCUGAAAAAUAAAAGAUAAUAUACAUAUUGUAAACGUUGUUGUGAAAAACUCAAAAACUGGAAACAACUCAAAAACUGGAUUAGGGAAGAAAGGGAAGCCAAUGUUCAGAUUUACACAUCAGAUGUUAUUCUUGGAAAGUAAAUCUAAUUUCUGAGGUAAAAUAAUACAUUUACAGAAAAUAAAAAAAUGGAGGGCAUCCGUAAUCCAGGGACAUCGAUUUUUUUCUGAACUAAAAAAUAAUGCUUUGCUUGUCUUUGUAUUUCUUUUACACAGUAGUUUAACAUGUAGCACGCAAUAAAGUGACAUGGUAGAACAAAUAUACGGAUAUGUAUGUAUGCGUAUGUUUUUGAGAAAUGUGUAUGUGA